UUAUACAUAAACAAAUAAGCAAUAUUACUUCCAGUAAUCACUGGUGCUAUGGAGAAAAAUAAAACAGGCUAGAGAAAGAUAAUGAGGCAUGUAGGUACUGUAUUUUAGCAAGGGUAGUCUGAGGAGGCUUCCCUGAGAAGAUUUUUGAGCAAAUACCUGAAAGAUGUGAAGGAGGAAACCAUGUGAUAGUCUGCUGGAAAAUGUUCCAAGGAAGGAAAAGCAAGAGUGGAGUCCUUGUGGGAACAGCAAGAUGGACUCCAGUGGCAUGGGAAAGAAAAAAAAAGCUUUGAAAUUUAGAAAAAUAGACUGAAACAACAUGGACUCACAUAAGCUCCUCCACAUGAACUCUGAAGGUGUUCCAGUUUCGAGAGCUUUGAGUCAACAACCUGAGUUGCUGUUUCAGUUCUACCGGAGAAGUGUGGUCUUGAACAUGAGUUACCCACAGUCCGGAAGCAGUCAUCCUUCCCUCAUAUUGUCAGAAGGACAAUAGCAUCCUGUUAUGUUCCAUUGCCCACAUCAUUCAUCUGACUUCAUCUAAUCACACAGGCAUAUUAUCAUCUCACAGUACUGCAAGAAGGGAAUUCUGGUAAAGGAACCAAUGCAGUAGAACAAGAGAGAGAAGAUAAGAACCUGACCAAGUGAACUUAAACUGCCAUAAUAAGUGCUGCUUCUGCAGCCUGCCACAUAGAUGUUUAUUUUGUGGUGACUUCGACAUUUGAAUUCAGAAUAUGAACCAGAUUAUCAAAGUUUGAAGCCUACCUGAGUAGAAUCAAGAAAAUAUUCUCUCUGGAAAUGCCCUGCAAACACUGUUCAAUUAUUAUUAUUACUAUGUUCAGUUAUUAUUACCAUAAUAAUUAUAAUGCUUAACUUGAGGAAAGAUACAGAUCUUUUUUUUUUUUUUUUUUAAAGGAAAAAUG